UACAGAGGUCCCUAGCGUUGUUCGGAUUUACUGGGCGUAAAGGGCGCGUAGGCGGCAUAGUAAGUUUGAUGUGAAAGCUCAGGGCUUAACCCUGAAAUGGCAUUGAAUACUGCUGUGCUGGAGGUUUGGAGGGGGGACUGGAAUUCUUGGUGUAGCGGUGAAAUGCGUAGAUAUCAAGAGGAACACCAGUGGCGAAGGCGAGUCCCUGGACAGCACCUGACACUGAGGCACGAAAGCUAGGGGAGCAAACAGG
rnacentral:rRNA from 1 species